rnacentral:rRNA from 1 species
CCAAUAGCGUAUAUUAAAGUUGUUGCAGUUAAAAAGCUCGUAGUUGAAUUUCGGGGUCAGUGGGUCGGUCGUGCCACUGGUAUGUACUGGCCCUACUGAUUCCUCCUUCUUGAAGAACUGUAAUGCCAUUAAUUUGGUGUUGCAGGGAAACAGGACUGUUACUUUGAAAAAAUUAGAGUGUUUAAAGCAGGCAAUCGCUUGAAUACAUUAGCAUGGAAUAAUGAAAUAGGACGCUCGAUCCUAUUUUGUUGGUUUCUAGGAUUGACGUAAUGAUUAAUAGGGAUAGUUGGGGGCAUUAGUAUUCAAUUGUCAGAGGUGAAAUUCUUGGAUUUAUUGAAGACUAACUACUGCGAAAGCAUUUGCCAAGGAUGUUUUCAUUAAUCAAGAACGAAAGUUAGGGGAUCGAAGACGAUCAGAUACCGUCGUAGUCUUAACCAUAAACUAUGCCGACUAGGGAUCGGAUGAUGUUAAUUUUUUAACGACUCAUUCGGCGCCUUACG